rnacentral:rRNA from 1 species
AGAGAUCAUGGCUCAGAUUGAACGCUGGCGGCAUGCCUUACACAUGCAAGUCGAACGGCAGCGCGGGGCAACCUGGCGGCGAGUGGCGAACGGGUGAGUAAUAUAUCGGAACGUACCCUGGAGUGGGGGAUAACGUAGCGAAAGUUACGCUAAUACCGCGUACGAUCUAAGGAUGAAAGUGGGGGAUCGCAAGACCUCAUGCUCCUGGAGCGGCCGAUAUCUGAUUAGCUAGUUGGUGGGUAAAGGCCUACCAAGGCAUCGAUCAGUAGCUGGUCUGAGAGGACGACCAGCCACACUGGAGCUGAGACACGGUCCAGACUCCUACGGGAGGCAGCAGUGGGGAAUUUUGGACAAUGGGCGCAAGCCUGAUCCAGCAAUGCCGCGUGAGUGAAGAAGGCCUUCGGGUUGUAAAGCUCUUUUGUCAGGGAAGAAACGGUGAGAGCUAAUAUCUCUUGCUAAUGACGGUACCUGAAGAAUAAGCACCGGCUAACUACGUGCCAGCAGCCGCGGUAAUACGUAGGGUGCAAGCGUUAAUCGGAAUUACUGGGCGUAAAGCGUGCGCAGGCGGUUUUGUAAGUCUGUCGUGAAAUCCCCGGGCUCAACCUGGGAAUUGCGAUGGAGACUGCAAGGCUAGAAUCUGGCAGAGGGGGGUAGAAUUCCACGUGUAGCAGUGAAAUGCGUAGAGAUGUGGAGGAACACCGAUGGCGAAGGCAGCCCCCUGGGUCAAGAUUGACGCUCAUGCCCGAAAGCGUGGGGAGCAAACACGAUUAGAUACCCUGGUAGUCCACGCCCUAAA